AACUACUAGAUUUUGUCUAAUCCUGGCUGUCCUCACCAGCCUGCAUCACAACCUGCAGAUUUAAUUCCUGUCUAGACCUCAGACUUGUCUCAUCCUCCUGAACUUGCCUGAUGACCAAGAUUUUUAAAUGACUCUUACUGCCAUCUCCAGCUAAGCCUUACUCAUCUUGUUCAGGUACUGAAAGAUGAGACUGUAUAUUCUACUAAGUGUAUCCAGAAGCAGGAGGAACAUCUCUGAAGAUCCCUUCUUUCCCAACAGAGGCUGGAACCAGAACUGGACAGUGGCGACACCUGAACCUGAGUGAAAAAUCAGCCAACAAAGUUGGGUACUUUCAGUUAAGUAUUGUAAGGCUAAUCAUGGUUGAACAGCUUUCCCAGAGAAGAAAUGCAUGUACUCAAUAAACAGUAAUCCCAGAUGAAGUCGUUGACCUGGAUUUGAAGUUGAACUACAUCUGGCCAGUGCAGAUUUCUGGGAAAUGGUCCAAUAGCUAAGAAGUCUUGCAAUGCAAAGAACAACUCUGCUGCAUCGGGGUUCCUGUACUUGGAUAGUCUGUGAGCUGGGGCAUUUACUGGUUCCACAACCACCUGGCUGCCUUGCUUAAGGGCCAGGACUCCACUGUAGCAGCUGUGCACAAGAAGAAUGAAAAAUAUUUUUCUUGCCCUGGAAAAGCUUGCAAACAGGCAGUUUACAUCAAAACUUGUGAAAGGCUAAACUCUCUUGGUUGAUUUCUAUCUUCCCCUAAACCCAAAGAUCUCAAGACACCAUCAGGAGCAGCAGCAGCCGCCUUAAUAAAUAUUGUUCUAAUGGAGUUGGGGAGAUACUGGUGUGUGAGUGGCAAAGUAUUUUUCCCUGCAGGCAUUCUUGCAGCCAGAACUCGCUUUUCCCAUCCCUGUGCCGCAGCAUGGCUUUGCUAAAUAGGUUUUCACAGUGAACUGAAAAGCUCCCUUUUCCUAAGACUUGAUGCACCUUUUACCAAAUGCACAGUAAAGAUUAUGGGGGGGCUAUGUGAAUUGUUUCCUCGCUUACUACUGUGCCUGUUGCCUAUAUUUCUUAUUAAAUAUUGGGGGAUAAAUGCCAUUUGGGUGGGUACAGAUCAGGCAAAAGGGUAGCCAACAGUUGAAUGUAUGUGACGAAAUGCUUUCUCUAAUGGUACGUUUUUCACUUAGUUUUAAGUAAAAUCACUUUUAAAAUUUUGAGAUGAUUAGGUAGCUGCUAUUAAAACACACUAACCCCCAAACUUCUUUUAGUCAAACCUUUCCUUGCAGUGUAAGGGGAUUAAUUUGCUUGUUUAAAAAAACUAGUUAAACUUUUUUUGGGGGGGGAAAUGACCCUGAGAACCAAAAUAGGAUAACUUUGUUGUAUUUUGUAUGUGUUUUACAUGAGGCCACUUAAUUAAAUUUAUUGUGGCUUGCUCUAAACCAGUAAACUCAUAUCACUACCUUCACCGUGUUUUGUAUUCUCUGUGCAGGAUGUAAAGUAAUUACAUUUCAGUUGCAUUAUAAUUUAGCAGGUUCUAACAGAAACAUGGAGAGAGCUGAAGUCUUCCCAUCUUCUAGAUUGGUGUGUUAAAUCACAGCCAGCUGCUGACUUGCACAAGGGAAGUUAGAUGGAUACCACAAUGCAUAGCCCAAUUCUGUACACAGUUUAAUUUGGAAAUCUAGGCGCAAGUACCUACUUAUCAUGCACAGAUGUAGCCCGGGAGGUCAACGGGGCCAGCGAGGCAUCGUCUGCUUCUAUAACUCAAAUGAGUUUACAGUACUUGAGCAUUUUUCUUUGUCAUGUUUUAAUCUACAUGCUUCUCCAAAUGGGAUAAUGUCAUGAAGAAAAAUCAAAUAACCCCAACAAAACCAGAAACAAAGAGGUACAGACAGGAAAAGAACGGGAAAGCUUUUUAGGAGGUCUGAAAGACAGAGGGUUGGUGAGCAGCUUCAGGGGCCAG